rnacentral:rRNA from 1 species
UACGUAGGGUCCGAGCGUUGUCCGGAAUUAUUGGGCGUAAAGAGCUCGUAGGCGGCUUGUCGCGUCGGAUGUGAAAGCCCGGGGCUUAACUCCGGGUCUGCAUCCGAUACGGGCAGACUAGAGGUAUGCAGGGGAGAACGGAAUUCCUGGUGUAGCGGUGGAAUGCGCAGAUAUCAGGAGGAACACCGGUGGCGAAGGCGGUUCUCUGGGCAUUACCUGACGCUGAGGAGCGAAAGUGUGGGGAGCGAACAGG